rnacentral:piRNA from 1 species
UAUCUCGUCUAUUUGCCUACU